AGUGAACGCUGGCGGUAGGCCUAACACAUGCAAGUCGAACGGCAGCACAGUAAGAGCUUGCUCUUACGGGUGGCGAGUGGCGGACGGGUGAGGAAUACAUCGGAAUCUACUUUUUCGUGGGGGAUAACGUAGGGAAACUUACGCUAAUACCGCAUACGACCUACGGGUGAAAGCAGGGGAUCUUCGGACCUUGCGCGAUUGAAUGAGACGAUGUCGGAUUAGCUAGUUGGCGGGGUAAAGGCCCACCAAGGCGACGAUCCGUAGCUGGUCUGAGAGGAUGAUCGGCCACACUGGAACUGAGACACGGUCCAGACUCCUACGGGAGGCAGCAGUGGGGAAUAUUGGACAAUGGGCGCAAGCCUGAUCCAGCCAUACCGCGUGAGUGAAGAAGGCCUUCGGGUUGUAAAGCCCUUUUGUUGGGAAAGAAAAACAGCAGGUUAAUACCCCGCUGUUCUGACGGUACCCAAAGAAUAAGCACCGGCUAACUUCGUG
rnacentral:rRNA from 1 species